UACGGGGGGGGCAAGCGUUGUUCGGAAUUACUGGGCGUAAAGGGCGCGUAGGCGGCCUACUAAGUCGGACGUGAAAUCCCUCGGCUCAACCGAGGAACUGCGUCCGAUACCGGCAGGCUGGAAUCCGGGAGAGGGAUGUGGAAUUCCAGGUGUAGCGGUGAAAUGCGUAGAUAUCUGGAGGAACACCGGUGGCGAAGGCGGCAUCCUGGACCGGUAUUGACGCUGAGGCGCGAAAGCUAGGGGAGCAAACGGG
rnacentral:rRNA from 1 species